GUUUCUGUGGUGUUUUUGCAUGUGCGAGCAGCGGCGCCUACACCCCCGAUUUCAUCGUUUCAUGCGUAUUUCGCUGGUGCGAGGUCCAACCGCGCGGCGUUGUGAAUUAUCAGGCACUUCUCAAAUGAUUGCACGCUACUGACAAUGGCGAUGCCGAACCAUGUCUCUGCAAGUGCUCGGUUAUUCUACUCCAAGCAAAAAGGAAAGAAGGAAGAAUGCAGAUAAAUGGCAAGACAAAAGCGGCUCCCAAAUAUUGCUUCUUCAUUGUUCACAGCUUACUGAGAUAUUGUGUAUCUCCGACACUAAAGGGCUACAAAGGCCCUGUGGAAAGUGGA